UGAGGAACAUGACCUUCGGCGGGGGAUAGCCGGCCCAACGGCCGGGUAAUACCGCGUACGACCACAUGGGGACAUCCCUGAGUGGUGAAAGCAGCAAUGCGCCGAUGGAGUGCCUCGCGGCCUAUCAGCUAGUUGGUGAGGUAAUGGCUCACCAAGGCGACGACGGGUAGCUGGCCUGAGAGGAUGGCCAGCCACAUUGGGACUGAGACACGGCCCAGAUCCCGUACGGGG
rnacentral:rRNA from 1 species